rnacentral:rRNA from 1 species
GAAGUAGAUAGCUUGCUAUUUACUGAGUGAGUCGCGAACGGGUGAGUAACGCGUAGGUAACCUACCUUUUAGCGGGGGAUAACUAUUGGAAACGAUAGCUAAUACCGCAUAAUAUUCUAUAUUUCAUGAUAGAGGAUUGAAAGAUGCAACUGCAUCACUAAGAGAUGGACCUGCGUUGUAUUAGCUAGUUGGUGAGGUAACGGCUCACCAAGGCAACGAUACAUAGCCGACCUGAGAGGGUGAUCGGCCACACUGGGACUGAGACACGGCCCAGACUCCUACGGGAGGCAGCAGUAGGGAAUCUUCGGCAAUGGGGGGGAACCCUGACCGAGCAACGCCGCGUGAGUGAAGAAGGUUUUCGGAUCGUAAAGCUCUGUUGUAAGAGAAGAACGAGUGUGAGAGUGGAAAGUUCACACUGUGACGGUAUCUUACCAGAAAGGGACGGCUAACUACGUGCCAGCAGCCGCGGUAAUACGUAGGUCCCGAGCGUUGUCCGGAUUUAUUGGGCGUAAAGCGAGCGCAGGCGGUUUGAUAAGUCUGAAGUUAAAGGCUGUGGCUCAACCAUAGUUCGCUUUGGAAACUGUCAAACUUGAGUGCAGAAGGGGAGAGUGGAAUUCCAUGUGUAGCGGUGAAAUGCGUAGAUAUAUGGAGGAACACCGGUGGCGAAAGCGGCUCUCUGGUCUGUAACUGACGCUGAGGCUCGAAAGCGUGGGGAGCAAACAGGAUUAGAUACCCUGGUAGUCCACGCCGUAAACGAUGAGUGCUAGGUGUUAGGCCCUUUCCGGGGCUUAGUGCCGCAGCU